UACGAAGGGGGCUAGCGUUGCUCGGAAUGACUGGGCGUAAAGGGCGCGUAGGCGGUAUGGACAGUCAGAUGUGAAAUUCCUGGGCUUAACCUGGGGGCUGCAUUUGAUACGUCCAAACUAGAGUGUGAGAGAGGGUUGUGGAAUUCCCAGUGUAGAGGUGAAAUUCGUAGAUAUUGGGAAGAACACCGGUGGCGAAGGCGGCAACCUGGCUCAUAACUGACGCUGAGGCGCGAAAGCGUGGGGAGCAAAC
rnacentral:rRNA from 1 species